rnacentral:tRNA from 1 species
CAAUCUAAAGCUUAAGAAAGCAUUUUAUUUACAUUAAAAGGAUGACUGUUAAAUUCAGUUUAGUUUGA